CGGACGAGAAGCUUGCUUCUCUGAUGUUAGCGGCGGACGGGUGAGUAACACGUGGAUAACCUACCUAUAAGACUGGGAUAACUUCGGGAAACCGGAGCUAAUACCGGAUAAUAUUUUGAACCGCAUGGUUCAAAAGUGAAAGACGGUCUUGCUGUCACUUAUAGAUGGAUCCGCGCUGCAUUAGCUAGUUGGUAAGGUAACGGCUUACCAAGGCAACGAUGCAUAGCCGACCUGAGAGGGUGAUCGGCCACACUGGAACUGAGACACGGUCCAGACUCCUACGGGAGGCAGCAGUAGGGAAUCUUCCGCAAUGGGCGAAAGCCUGACGGAGCAACGCCGCGUGAGUGAUGAAGGUCUUCGGAUCGUAAAACUCUGUUAUUAGGGAAGAACAUAUGUGUAAGUAACUGUGCACAUCUUGACGGUACCUAAUCAGAAAGCCACGGCUAACUACGUGCCAGCAGCCGCGGUAAUACGUAGGUGGCAAGCGUUAUCCGGAAUUAUUGGGCGUAAAGCGCGCGUAGGCGGUUUUUUAAGUCUGAUGUGAAAGCCCACGGCUCAACCGUGGAGGGUCAUUGGAAACUGGAAAACUUGAGUGCAGAAGAGGAAAGUGGAAUUCCAUGUGUAGCGGUGAAAUACGCAGAGAUAUGGAGGAACACCAGUGGCGAAGGCGACUUUCUGGUCUGUAACUGACGCUGAUGUGCGAAAGCGUGGGGAUCAAACAGGAUUAGAUACCCUGGUAGUCCACGCCGUAAACGAUGAGUGCUAAGUGUUAGGGGGUUUCCGCCCCUUAGUGCUGCAGCUAACGCAUUAAGCACUCCGCCUGGGGAGUACGACCGCAAGGUUG
rnacentral:rRNA from 1 species